rnacentral:rRNA from 1 species
AGUGAACGCUGGCGGUAGGCCUAACACAUGCAAGUCGAACGGCAGCACAGUAAGAGCUUGCUCUUACGGGUGGCGAGUGGCGGACGGGUGAGGAAUACAUCGGAAUCUACUUUUUCGUGGGGGAUAACGUAGGGAAACUUACGCUAAUACCGCAUACGACCUACGGGGGAAAGCAGGGGAUCUUCGGACCUUGCGCGAUUGAAUGAGCCGAUGUCGGAUUAGCUAGUUGGCGGGGUAAAGGCCCACCAAGGCGACGAUCCGUAGCUGGUCUGAGAGGAUGAUCGGCCACACUGGAACUGAGACACGGUCCAGACGCCUAAGGGAGGGAGCAGUGGGGAAUAUUAGGCAAUGGGCGCAAGCCUGAUCCAGCCAUACCGCGUGGGUGAAGAAGGCCUUCGGGUUGUAAAGCCCUUUUGUUGGGAAAGAAAAGCAGCAGGUUAAGACCCCGCUGUUCUGACGGUACCCAAAGAAUAAGCACCGGCUAACUUCGUG